rnacentral:lncRNA from 1 species
UCAGCCUUCUAUCUCGAAGAUGGUGUUGUUACAUUUGACAACAUCUCUUUGUUCUGGACUUCUCUAGCCACUCGUUCCACAGGGUAUGAUUCCAGCUCUUUUGAACCUUCACAAUUAUGUGAAUUGAAUUUUUUUAAAUGACUCUAAUCAUGAUUAACUGAGUGAUUUCGCGAUUGGUGCCAAAAUCCAUUGUUAUGCUUAAUUGGGUGUUGCUUAAUUAUUGUUAUCUUUUUGUUUGAUCUCUAGUUGUUGUAAACUUUGAUCUAUUUACUCUGACACACGUUGUGCUGAAAGGAUGGUUUGUUUUUGUUAAUAUAAUUCAUUUUGAUUUCUUAAAAAAAAUACUGGGUGAUUUAUUACCAUUGGGACUAUUAUUAAUAUAUGUGUGUUUUAAAAUCAAAUUUAUUGAGGUUGUGAUAUUAAUCAAAUUUUGGGUGUUCUUGAAACAACAAUAACAGGUUAUUCCUACUGUUUUUUAAUGCCAUGGAUCUACUUAUGAAUGGAAAUAUGAGAAACUGGUCAAACAACAAAGUAUGAGUAUAACCUUGAAGCAUUAUAGUUGCAAAGGAAGGAGAACGAUUGCUCAGUAAAAUUAGGAUAAGAACCUUACAAUUUUUGGUUUGUUUUCACAAAGAUCUAACGUCGUUAACCUUCAAGGGAUGUAUGCGUCACAUUCAAAAUAAAAUAAGGGAGGUUCUGUCAUUUUGCAAAAUAAAGGGGGUGUGAGUGACAUUUUUGCAAAACUCAGAGGAGGUUGAUGCAAUUUACCCUUAAAUUUAUAUUUCUAUGUCUCAUGAUGAUGUUACUCAUACUCGGUCCAUCACAGAUUAACUGUGUCAUUUGCUUAUUUCAUAAGUAUUAAAAAAAAAGCAUAAAUGAAGGACAUAGAAAAAUGGUUUUAAGUGUUUUUGUUAAGUAUUGGUGCAUUCUCCAUUAUCAUAAAUGUAAAGUGAAAUGUAUUAAAUUGAGAGUGAUGAACAUAUUAUUAAUUAGAGUUAUAUUUGAAAAAAAGUAAUUAAUGAUGUAUAAAAAAGUAAAAUUGGUCAAUAUUUUUGGGACAUUAUUUUUUUACGUUUGUUUUUCUGACUUCCAAAAGUUUUUAAUAACAUAUGGAAAUGAUCAAAAAAACUCAGCGGUAGUUAACUGCCGCCGGAGGUAUUUUAGACCUUUUCAUGUGUUAUUAGGAAUAUCUGAAAGUUAAAAAAAACAAUUUUCAUAUUUUUUUUUGCAAAUGACUCACAUAUUAUGAGACGGAGGGAGCAUCUUGUUUUUGAAUCCAAUUCAUCCUUACAUGUUAUUUCUUCAUAAGAUAAGAUCUCACCUCAUUUAGGUUCAAUUGGCCAACUGAGCCUAGUCAUUGUGAACUUAAUUUCACUCAAUUCUUCGUAUUCUCUUCAGUCUUGAAAACAUGUUUUACUAAUUCACCAAUAAUAAUAAGAGUAAAUUACACUCCCCUCCCUUCAAAGAUGCUUGAAUUACAUUCUCCUCCCCUCUUAUGUUAAAAUAUACACUUCCCUUCCUUGAAAAGUAAAAUUUACACUCUCCCCCCCUAUAAGAUGCUUGAAUUACAUCCUACUCCCUUAAUAAUUAAAUAUGGACUACACUUUAAUCUAUUUUAACAUAAAUAAAUAUUUUUAUAAUAUAUUUUAAUUUUGAAAUACCAUUUAAAAAAUAUAAAUUCGUUUAUUUAUAAUCUAAAUGUCAACGACAAUUAAAUUUAAAUCUUUUGUUAUUAAUUUUAUAAUUNUUUCUCUUCUUGAAAUUUUCUCUUUAUGGUCAGUGAUGAUAUGGCCCAGUAUCCUGUCUACUUGUUGGCUUAACUUCUCAAGCUUAGGCUUCAAUCCAGAUAUAUUUUGAAUCCAUUGAGCUGAAGGAAACAAGUCACCAAUAUAGAACCCUCCAGCAAGUUUUAUAAGUUGUUUUACAACUGAUAUGAACUCUUCUUGUUCCAAAUAUUUCUUACCAAAUGCAGCCUUUGAAGUGAAUGUAUACAUCAUUGACAUAACUUCUUCAGUGAGAUUGAACUCUGAUCCUUCAUUUGAAGCAAUCUUCUUUAGGAGAAAAUUGAUCUCUUUUUGUCUUACUGGCCAAAGAGAUUUGACUCUUCUUGUGCUUAAUAGCUCAAUAGCACAAAUCUUUCUAAGUUGUCUCCAAUAAUCACCAUAAGGUGAAAAAGCUAUAUCCAUUGAAUUGUAAGAUGCUAUGUCUGUGGCAAGAAGAUGAGGCCUUGAUGCAAAGAUAAUAUCAUGUGUUUUUAAAACCUCCUUAGCAACUUCAGGUGAAGAAAUAACAAUGAAAAAGAUCUCACCAAGUUGAAGAUGCAUCAAGGGUCCAUAUUUUUUGGCUAAAUCUCUUAAUCUUCUAGGUGGGUUUAUUGCAACAAGAUGGAGAAUAUUUCCUAAAAUGGGUAACUUCCAUGGCCCUGGAGGUAUAUUUUUACCGAAGUCAUAUUUUUUGUAAUGAUUCCUAAUUUUGAGUGCAAUUAUCAUGAACAUAAAAAUAGUGAAAAAACUAAGAAUUUGAAAAGCCAUGGAGAUGAAAACUAAUGUGAGAUGGACUAACACCGGAAAAACUAAUAUAUAUAGUUAAUAUUUUUGUACGUAGUUUGUUUUUUUUUUUUUUUUAAAUCAGAAAAAACAUUAAAAUAUUUCCGAAAUUAAAAAAUUAAAAAAAUAUUCAGAUUUUUUUUCAAAAAUUUUAAAAUAGAAAAAAUUCAGAUUUUUUUCUUAAAUAAAAAAUUCAAAAAAAUCACUUCUGAAAUUUAAAAAAUUAGCAAAAAAUUCAAAAAAUUUUCAAAAAAAUUAUAAACCGAAAAUAAAUUAAGAUUUUUCUUCUAAAUUCAAAAAUUCAAAAAUUUCUGAAAUUAGAAAAAUAUUCAGAUUUUUUUCGAAAAAUUAUAAAAUAGAUUUUUUUUUGAGAGGGGUAAAUAGAUUUUAAAAUAGAUAUAAAUUCAGAUUUUUAUCCAAAUAUUGUAUUCUAAAAUAAAUUUUUUUGAAAAAACAUUAAAAAAUUUCCGAAAUAGAAAAAUAUUCAGAUUUUUUUCCAAAAUUUUAUGAAUCGAAAAAAAAUUAAGAUUUUUCUUCUACAAUAAAAAUUCAUAAAAAAAUUUCCGAAAUUAGAAAAAUAUUCAGAUUUUUUUACAAAAAUUUUAAAAUAGAUCAAAUUUCAGAUUUUUAUCCAAAUAUUGUUUUCUAAAAUAAUUUUUUUUGAAAAAACAUUAAAAAAAUUCCGUAAUUAAAAAAAAUAUUCAGAUUUUUUUCCAAAAUUUUUUAAUUUGAAAAAAAAAUUAAGAUUUUUCUUUUGAAAUAAAAAUUCAGAAAAUCAUUAAAAAAAACCAAAUUUAAAAAAUUAUUCAGAUUUUUUUCUUAAAUAAGAAAAAUUCAGAAAAAAUUUCCGAAAUUUAAAAAAUGUCCUUAAUUUUUAAAAUCGAAAAAAUUCAAUUGAAUAGAUGAGUUGGAUGGAAAAUUUUGAUAUAGAAAAAAAUUCAAUAGAAUUGAAAAAAAUUCAUUUUAUAAUAAAAAAAAAUUCUAAAAAAAUUGUUUUUACAUUUAAUGGUUUAAAAUAAUUAAGAUUUUUCUUCCAUGUCUUUUUGACCAUAUUAAUUAAAAAAAUUGUUUUAACAUGCAGAAUUAUUUUCAACUUGAAUUUUUUUUCAUCCUUGAUUUAUAGCUUUUUCUUUCAGUCUUCUAAAAUAAUUUCUAAAUUGUUUAUAUCAAAAUUACUUUUAUUUAAUUUUUUUUUGUUAUCAGUUAUCACAAAGUUUUAUUUCUUUUUUAACAAAAGAUAAUAUUAUAUUUAUUAUAAAAAAAAAGAUAUAAUCAUACUAUAAUUACAAUUUCUGGUCUCUCUUUUUAUAGAAAAGAAAAAAGUGCAUAUGAACUAAAUCUGAGAUAUUAUUAUUUUUGACCAAAUAGCAUAGAUUUAUCUAUACUUAUUAAUAAAGGCAAUACUUUUCUUUUGGUGUAGCCUAUAUUUUUACCCAUUAUACCCUUCACUAAUUGCAAAAAUUCCAAAACAAUUAACUGUUUGAAAUGGACGUCGGUUAUCGUAUUUCAAACUCAAAACAUAACUUCUUUUUCAUUUUAAAAAUCAGCAAAAUCAGAACAUAACUGUCUUUUUAAUUUAAAACAUCAGCACGAGAUUCAAGAGGAAGAAAUAAAGAAAGAGCGAACAUCGCACCGCUGAAAAACGGAGUUGUUGCAGCAGCGAUGCAUAAGCAAAAUGGUUAGUUUCUAUUUUCUCCCUUUAUGUUUUUUCUAUAAUCCUUUGCCAUCGAUUGAUUUUCCAUGUUUAGGUUGCAGUCUUUAAAUUUGAUUUUGAAGAAACACAUGGUUAUUACAGUGGAAAACAUAUGGGAGAAGACAACUAACAAGGCUUAGAGCAUUCACAUGCAUAAUACCAGCGGCGGUUAUAAGGCCCGGCGACCCCAGACACUCGCCCGGUUUCGGGCCAAAUUUUUUGCAAUUUCUUGUGUAAAUCCCUAUGAAUUUCUUAUAUAAAUCCCUAUAAAUUGGGCAAUUUCUUUACAUUUUUUAUUAUUUGCUUGCAAUUUCUUAUGUACGCCCUAUAAAUGUGUUGCAAAUUUUUUUUUUGCCCAGGCUUUACAAUAUUCCUAGUUCCGCCACUGCAUAAUACAACAAUCAACGUACACAUUUGCUUUAAAGACUAUGUCUUCUUCUAAGUUAUGUAGAUGAUACAUUCGAACUUCAGAUGCCUUUAAAAUAGUAUAUAUAUGGCAUGCUUUAGGAUCGUCAAUAAUUUGUAGCACUGAUACUUCUUAUGGAAGAAGUGUGUUUUUUUUUUUUUUUUUUUUUACAAUGGAAGGAGUGUGUGAUUACAUUUAUUUAAUUCAUUUUAUAAAGUCAUUUUUUGAUGUCGAUGUGUCAUUAUCAUGUUCAAUCUCAGUAUCUUGAAUAUACUAUUGCUAUCUCAUAUGUGGAUGAUUUGCAGGUUGGAUGUCUCUCAUAUCAUUCUGAUCCAUUAUUUUUAUCUCUCUAAUAAUAGCUCUUUUUUUUUUUUUCUUCCUUAUGUAUCAUACCACAAGAUAAUGGAAGAGGAUGGGAAGAGUUUAUGCUAAUUACAAUAAUAACUAGUAAAUACUAAUUACAAAUAAUUAAGAUUAUUCUAUAAUCUAUAACUCCUCAAGAACCUAUAUUAAUGUGUACAUUACACCCUCCGGUCAUUAAUAUAAGUAAAAAUCUACAUUUUAUGUUCAUUCAUUUAAUGAUGCACAUGGUCUUUAUUAUAUACCACAUACAUCAUUAAAUGAAUGAAUCUAAAAUACAGAUUUUUGCUUAUAUUAGUGACCGGAGGGUGUAAUAUACUAGUCAGCUUAUAUCAAUAUACAUUAAUAUACAAUAAUAACUAGUAAAGACUAACUCCAAAUAAUUAACAUUAUUCUAUAAUCUAUCAAGCUACUCCCUUCGUCCCAAAUUGUAUGACGUUUUGAGCAUUUCACACAUAUUAAGAAAUAUAAUUAAUAUUGUGUGGGAAAGAGAUAUUAUGAGUUGUUUUACAAAAUUAUCCUUAAUAAAUGAUAUGAGAAAGAUAAAUGAAAGAAUUGAAAAAAGAAAGAGUAAUAAAUAGUUAAGGAUAUAAUAGGAAAAAUAACAUUAAUGUUUCAUUGAUAUUCUAAAGUGACAUACAAUUUAGGACAAAUAUUUUUUUUAAAAUGACAUACAAUUUCGGACGGAGGGAGUACUUAAUUGCCAAAACAAAGAAAACCAUUAUUAUGACCAAUUCAAAGGAGACAUUUUCCAAAACACAUCACGUGGCCAUAGGGAGACAAAAUAGCAUGACAAAAGAUACCUUCUUGAUUUACUCCAAGGGUCUACCACCAUCAUGUCAUAAAUAAAGCCACUUACACUUCUUCUUCAUCACAAUACAAACCCCAACAUUGCAGUUUAAUUCAUCUAAAAUCAAUCACGAUUCAACUUGAAAUUCUUCUAAGCUAGCUUUAGACUGCUUCAAGUUCUCAUAAUUCAAAACGAAAAGUUUAUGGAAGUUUUUCAAAUGUAACUUAUCUUUUUGAAUUAUGAGAACUUGAAGCAUACUUAUGUCUGAAGCAGCUUUGAAGAAUAUUUGAUUGAAACAUGUAAGAGUGAGUUUUAGAUGAAAUAAAUUAAUGGCAAAAUUCCAGAAAAAGAUAAACAACCCUAGAUUAAAAAUGUUUAUUUUGAUUUUGAUACAUGCUGCCUCUAUUGAAGUCUUUUAAUAAAACUGAAUCUUGCCUCCGCGGCUCCACCAUCAAUGAUGUCAGACUCGAUCUUUGAACUGCAAAAAUUAGCAGCAUGUUUCGUUUGGGAGAAAAGAUAGAAUGUGGAAUUCGAUAGACAUGAUCCGUAGUUUACUGGAUCGUCCACUAAGCCACGUUCUAUAUUUUCUCCCACCCAAAACCUGCGUUACCAUCAGCCUUCUAUCUCGAAGAUGGUGUUGUUACAUUUGACAACAUCUCUUUGUUCUGGACUUCUCUAGCCACUCGUUCCACAGGGUAUGAUUCCAGCUCUUUUGAACCUUCACAAUUAUGUGAAUUGAAUUUUUUUAAAUGACUCUAAUCAUGAUUAACUGAGUGAUUUCGCGAUUGGUGCCAAAAUCCAUUGUUAUGCUUAAUUGGGUGUUGCUUAAUUAUUGUUAUCUUUUUGUUUGAUCUCUAGUUGUUGUAAACUUUGAUCUAUUUACUCUGACACACGUUGUGCUGAAAGGAUGGUUUGUUUUUGUUAAUAUAAUUCAUUUUGAUUUCUUAAAAAAAAUACUGGGUGAUUUAUUACCAUUGGGACUAUUAUUAAUAUAUGUGUGUUUUAAAAUCAAAUUUAUUGAGGUUGUGAUAUUAAUCAAAUUUUGGGUGUUCUUGAAACAACAAUAACAGGUUAUUCCUACUGUUUUUUAAUGCCAUGGAUCUACUUAUGAAUGGAAAUAUGAGAAACUGGUCAAACAACAAAGUAUGAGUAUAACCUUGAAGCAUUAUAGUUGCAAAGGAAGGAGAACGAUUGCUCAGUAAAAUUAGGAUAAGAACCUUACAAUUUUUGGUUUGUUUUCACAAAGAUCUAACGUCGUUAACCUUCAAGGGAUGUAUGCGUCACAUUCAAAAUAAAAUAAGGGAGGUUCUGUCAUUUUGCAAAAUAAAGGGGGUGUGAGUGACAUUUUUGCAAAACUCAGAGGAGGUUGAUGCAAUUUACCCUUAAAUUUAUAUUUCUAUGUCUCAUGAUGAUGUUACUCAUACUCGGUCCAUC